rnacentral:rRNA from 1 species
GGCUCAGAGCGAACGCUGGCGGCAGGCUUAACACAUGCAAGUCGAGCGGGCGUAGCAAUACGUCAGCGGCAGACGGGUGAGUAACGCGUGGGAACGUACCUUUUGGUUCGGAACAACUGAGGGAAACUUCAGCUAAUACCGGAUAAGCCCUUACGGGGAAAGAUUUAUCGCCGAAAGAUCGGCCCGCGUCUGAUUAGCUAGUUGGUGAGGUAAUGGCUCACCAAGGCGACGAUCAGUAGCUGGUCUGAGAGGAUGAUCAGCCACAUUGGGACUGAGACACGGCCCAAACUCCUACGGGAGGCAGCAGUGGGGAAUAUUGGACAAUGGGCGCAAGCCUGAUCCAGCCAUGCCGCGUGAGUGAUGAAGGCCCUAGGGUUGUAAAGCUCUUUUGUGCGGGAAGAUAAUGACGGUACCGCAAGAAUAAGCCCCGGCUAACUUCGUGCCAGCAGCCGCGGUAAUACGAAGGGGGCUAGCGUUGCUCGGAAUCACUGGGCGUAAAGGGUGCGUAGGCGGGUCUUUAAGUCAGGGGUGAAAUCCUGGAGCUCAACUCCAGAACUGCCUUUGAUACUGAAGAUCUUGAGUUCGGGAGAGGUGAGUGGAACUGCGAGUGUAGAGGUGAAAUUCGUAGAUAUUCGCAAGAACACCAGUGGCGAAGGCGGCUCACUGGCCCGAUACUGACGCUGAGGCACGAAA